rnacentral:rRNA from 1 species
UACAGAGGGUGCGAGCGUUAAUCGGAAUUACUGGGCGUAAAGCGCGCGUAGGCGGCUUUGCAAGUCGGGUGUGAAAUCCCCAGGCUUAACCUGGGAACUGCAUUCGAGACUGCAUUGCUAGAGUAUGGGAGAGGGAAGUGGAAUUUCCGGUGUAGAGGUGAAAUUCGUAGAUAUUCGCAAGAACACCAGUGGCGAAGGCGGCGCACUGGCCCGAUACUGACGCUGAGGCACGAAAGCGUGGGGAGCAAACAGG